GCCAGAGUGGCAUAGUGGUUUGUGCAUUGGAUUGCAACUCUGGAGACCAGGGUUUGAUUCUCUGCUCGGCCA